CUACGGGUUGUUGCAGUAGGGAAUCUUCUACAAUGGGCGAAAGCCUGAUGGAGCAACGCCGCGUGAGUGAAGAAGGUUUUCGGAUCGUAAAACUCUGUUGUAAGGGAAGAACAAGUACAGUAGUAACUGGCUGUACCUUGACGGUACCUUAUUAGAAAGCCACGGCUAACUACGUGCCAGCAGCCGCGGUAAUACGUAGGUGGCAAGCGUUGUCCGGAAUUAUUGGGCGUAAAGCGCGCGCAGGCGGUCCUUUAAGUCUGAUGUGAAAGCCCACGGCUCAACCGUGGAGGGUCAUUGGAACUGGGGGACUUGAGUGCAGAAGAGGAAAGUGGAAUUCCAAGUGUAGCGGUGAAAUGCGUAGAGAUUUGGAGGAACACCAGUGGCGAAGGCGACUUUCUGGUCUGUAACUGACGCUGAGGCGCGAAAGCGUGGGGAGCAAACAGGAUUAGAUACCCGCGUAGUC
rnacentral:rRNA from 1 species